CAGUCCAUGCACUUGACAGCCUUGCACAGCCUCUGCUUCCCCACCAAGGAAAAGCCCUCAAGAGCCUGCACAGCAAGACUGCAGCCAGGACCGUGACGUCAGUGCCACCCAGAAACUGCUUGUCCUUCCAGAUCCUUCCAUGGGGAACAGAGGCUUUUAUUCCUCCAAUAGAGAUGCUGCUGAUGUGUGAACCAGAGCUUUGCAGCCUCUGUGUCCACCGGAUCAAGAGGUGUAUGAACAGACGGAUCCACGCAGGCCUCGGGCACGUGGACGGGGCUCAGAGCCACACUCCCCACCCUGACCAACCAGCCCCCUCUAGCCUUGGGUGGUGGUCCCAGCGACAGUACAAACGUCACCGUUCCCUGUGACGGACAGGAAGUGAAGAUAGUCAGAGGGCAGCAGAUCGUCCUGGUGAGCAGAUUUUCAACAGCGUGAGUUCUGCCAGAGGCACCCCACCCCCUCAGCUUUUUAGCCAGCCCCCGUCACUACCUGCAGGAGGUGGGGCCAGGGCUUUGGUGGAGAAAGAUUUGCAUAAAUCCAGCCAUCCCAGAAUCCUCCCUGGUCAAUUUUUUUUUUCCCCAUUCUUAUCCAAGAAGAGUCCAAGACUUUUAUCCAAGAGAAGAGUCUGCCUCAGCCAGCCUCAUGUCCUUCCUCUUCUCUGGCCCUGUGCUCGGAAUUCGGGAGCAGAUGUGGCAGCCUGUGACUGUGCCCUUUAGCCCUGGUGGCGGGGGACACCUCCCGUUACCAUUCUGCAGGAAGACUCCAGAACUGACAACCAGGCUUACCUCUGGCGGGUCCAUCAACCAAGUCCUCCUCCCCCCACACUGAAGGGAUUAUUUUAAAAAUGAGAAUGUGAUAGAUUUUCUAAGCCAGAGCUAUAUUGCUUUCCCCCAAAGCAGUUUUCAAACAUUUCAAAAAUGUUAGCUAGUGAGUCCAAAAGCUCCUUUUAUUCUUUCUGUUUUCUCCCACUCUGAAAAUACACACACGUAGAUCUGUGUACACAGCACACUUGAAGGCAUAUUUUCCAGGAUGUAACUAACAAAGGGAAGAAUGUGGUGGUGGUUGGAAUUCUGGCGCUUGCAAGACAUGGGUCUGUGCUCUGCAUUUCAGUACAGAGGUGAUCACACUGUUAUGGGCAGAGCAUCUGCUCCCUUCACCUGCAGCCUCCACCCUCCUCUUCCUCUGCUCCCUGACCUGACCCGAGAGGCGUUUGAACUAACACGAUCAAGGUGUCGGGACCAGUAUCCCACCCUCCCGCCACCGUGCUUGGCAAGUUCCCAGGGCCUGCAAGUCACACACGGGCCAAGUCGUGGCCUCUUUCCAACAAAAUGGGUACAUGUCCAUGUCAGGCCCAUCUUGCUGCCCUUCGUUAUAACUGUGGUCAAGGAGAAAGGAGUAAGUAGGCUUGGGUACUACAAGGCAAAGCAAUAUUCGAUAAUAUUCGAAUAUUGCUAGCAACAAUAUUCGAAAGUUUAACAUAUGCUUAUUUUCUAAAAUGUAAGACCUCCAUGGUGAUUGGGGGACUUGGGUGCCCGUCUUCAAUUCUUGUGCCGCAAAGGCCGGGAGGAAACCAUCCCUUUCCCAGGUGCUCUGACCUUGGCCUUGGGAUGCGUGGGCCCACUCCCCAUGUACAGAGGCGGCAUCCUUUGCACAUGGCAGGGCUGUGCGGAGAAACGGGCCCCUGGUGCCUGGGACAUUCCUUCACAGAGGCUCUCCUAGCAACAUGGCGACGCCAGCCAACCCAACAAUGACCUUUUGUCUCUAGCUCUCCUCAGCUCUGUGGCCAUUAGUCUCACCAGAAAACUCAAAGGAUAUUUUGCAAGAGAAGAGUGGUUGCGAGCUAAAGCUCUGAAUCAGUUGCUUUCCUCUGCUUUCUGCAAAUAUCAAACUGGGCUUGCGCCAGAUGAUCGCUUUAGGAGCAGGAAGUACCUAGAGAGGUGCCCUGGAUGGGGGAAAGCUGAGUCUGGAUGGCCCUCGUCCUGGCUCCGGGUAGGGAAGCCCCUCUGUACCACAUCCCUGAACUGUCUGGACCUUAGUGUCCUCAUCUUCCAAAUGAAGCACUAAUUCUCAACAGCGCAGAGUCCUUGCUAACAGUCCAGAUUCCCGAGCCAACAGUAGUUCCCCUGCUGACUCAGAAUCUCUGGGACUGAGCUCCGCCAACGUGACUUUUCACCAAAGGCCAAUAUAGACCUUGCUGAACAAUUGUAAAAACGCUUAGGUAAUUAACUUUCUAAUUUUGUUUACUUGGCACGAGAGGACCAACACACACACACUCAGGAUUGGUAUGCUACAUGCAUUGUGGGGAAUGUGUUUUUUUUUUCUGAUAGAGUUUGCAAAGGACAGAACCAGCCCAUUUUCUUUGCUGUUCCUGGUUAGUUAUCUUCUAUACAAGAAUGUAAAUCAUGCCUCUCUAUCGGCAAAUCACUUUGGACUGUGUGCUUCCAAUAGAUACACUUUAAAAAUUUUGAUAUAUCUGUAUUUACUUAUAUUUUGCUUUAGUAUGAACAUGUUACGACUGUGUUCCUAAUGUUAAAAAAAUAAAUGUUU
rnacentral:lncRNA from 1 species